AGAGUUUGAUCCUGGCUCAGAACGAACGCUGGCGGCAAGCUUAACACAUGCAAGUCGAACGGACCGUAUACGCAGCUUGCUGCGUGUAUGGUUAGUGGCAGACGGGUGAGUAAUGCAUAGGAAUCUACCUAGUAGUAUGGGAUAGCCACUAGAAAUGGUGGGUAAUACUGUAUAAUCCCUGCGGGGGAAAGAUUUAUCGCUAUUAGAUGAGCCUAUGUCAGAUUAGCUAGUUGGUGGGGUAAUGGCCUACCAAGGCGGUGAUCUGUAGCUGGUCUGAGAGGAUGAUCAGCCACACUGGAACUGAGACACGGUCCAGACUCCUACGGGAGGCAGCAGUGGGGAAUAUUGGACAAUGGGCGCAAGCCUGAUCCAGCUAUGCCGCGUGAGUGAGGAAGGCCUUAGGGUUGUAAAACUCUUUCAGUAGGGAAGAUAAUGACGGUAC
rnacentral:rRNA from 1 species